rnacentral:rRNA from 1 species
UACGGAAGGGGCAAGCGUUGUUCGGAAUCAUUGGGCGUAAAGGGCGCGUAGGUGGUUCUGUAUGUCUAUCGUGAAAGCGUACGGCUCAACCGUAUUUUGUCGGUAGAAACUGCAGGACUUGAGGCUGGGAGGGGCUGGUGGAAUUCCCUGUGUAGCGGUGAAAUGCGCAGAUAUCAGGAGGAACACCGGUGGCGAAGGCGGGUCUCUGGGCCGAUACUGACGCUGAGGAGCGAAAGCGUGGGGAGCGAACGGG